rnacentral:rRNA from 1 species
AACGAACGCUGGCGGCAGGCCUAACACAUGCAAGUCGAACGCCCUGGCAACAGGGAGUGGCAGACGGGUGAGUAACGCGUGGGAACGUGCCCUUCGGUUCGGAAUAACUCAGGGAAACUUGAGCUAAUACCGGAUACGUGCGAGAGCAGAAAGAUUUAUCGCCGAAGGAUCGGCCCGCGUCCGAUUAGCUAGUUGGUGAGGUAAUGGCUCACCAAGGCGACGAUCGGUAGCUGGUCUGAGAGGAUGAUCAGCCAAACUGGGACCGAGACACGGCCCAGACUCCUACGGGAGGCAGCAGUGGGGAAUAUUGGACAAUGGGCGCAAGCCUGAUCCAGCCAUGCCGCGUGAGUGAUGAAGGCCCUAGGGUUGUAAAGCUCUUUCGCCAGGGACGAUAAUGACGGUACCUGGAUAAGAAGCCCCGGCUAACUUCGUGCCAGCCGCCGCGGUAA